AAAAAUAAGACAUUUCCACUUAACCACUAUCCUUCUACCCUAAUUCUCAAUCUUCAUACCUUCCUAUCAAGGGUCAUAUCCUCAGUAAGAUGAAAUAGAAUCAUAUUAUGUUUAAUCACUUCUCCCCAAUACUUCUCAGGUCUUCCUCUACUUCUCAUCGGUCUCCCCAUUGUCAAUCUCACACCUCCUUAUUGGGCAUCUAUGCACCUCCUAUUCACAUGCCCCUGCCAUCUCAAUCUAGCUUCCCUCGUAUUGUCCUCUACGGGUGACACUCACAACCAUUCUCGAAUAUCAAUAUUUCAUAUCUUAAUUAACCUGGUAUACCCACAUAUCCAUCUCAACAUUUUUAUUUCUCCUACUUUUAUUUUCUGUACAAGAUGUUCUUGACAGUGUUAGGAUUUAUGCCCGUCACUAGAGGGGGGGUGAAUAGUGCGGCACGAGAAUAUUGAUN
rnacentral:lncRNA from 1 species